rnacentral:rRNA from 1 species
AUUGAACGCUGGCGGCAGGCCUAACACAUGCAAGUCGAGCGGAGCGGCGGACGGGUGAGUAAUGCCUAGGAAUCUGCCUGGUAGUUGGGGAUAACGUCCGGAAACGGGCGCUAAUACCGCAUACUAUCUGCUGAGCCCAGGUCGGAUUAGCUCGUUGGUGAGGUAAAGGCCUACCAAGGCGACGAACCGUAACUGGUCUGAGAGGAUGAUCAGUCACACUGGAACUGAGACACGGUCCAGACUCCUACGGGAGGCAGCAGUGGGGAAUAUUGCACAAUGGGCGAAAGCCUGAUCCAGCCAUGCCGCGUGUGUGAAGAAGGUCUUCGGAUUGUAAAGCUCUUUAAGUUGGGAGGCGUUACCAAAAGAAUAAGCACCGGCUAACUUCGUGCCAGCAGCCGCGGUAAUUC